rnacentral:piRNA from 1 species
CACAAGCUCUUACUUGUAGAAGUGA